ACGGGUGAGUAAUGCCUAGGAAAUUGCCUUGAUGUGGGGGAUAACCAUUGGAAACGAUGGCUAAUACCGCAUAAUGCCUACGGGCCAAAGAGGGGGACCUUCGGGCCUCUCGCGUCAAGAUAUGCCUAGGUGGGAUUAGCUAGUUGGUGAGGUAAUGGCUCACCAAGGCGACGAUCCCUAGCUGGUCUGAGAGGAUGAUCAGCCACACUGGAACUGAGACACGGUCCAGACUCCUACGGGAGGCAGCAGUGGGGAAUAUUGCACAAUGGGCGAAAGCCUGAUGCAGCCAUGCCGCGUGUAUGAAGAAGGCCUUCGGGUUGUAAAGUACUUUCAGUUGUGAGGAAGGGGGUANNGUUAAUANCGCUAUCUCUUGACGUUAGCAACAGAAGAAGCACCGGCUAACUCCGUGCCAGCAGCCGCGGUAAUACGGAGGGUGCGAGCGUUAAUCGGAAUUACUGGGCGUAAAGCGCAUGCAGGUGGUUCAUUAAGUCAGAUGUGAAAGCCCGGGGCUCAACCUCGGAACUGCAUUUGAAACUGGUGAACUAGAGUACUGUAGAGGGGGGUAGAAUUUCAGGUGUAGCGGUGAAAUGCGUAGAGAUCUGAAGGAAUACCAGUGGCGAAGGCGGCCCCCUNNNCAGAUACUGACACUCAGAUGCGAAAGCGUGGGGAGCAAACAGGAUUAGAUACCCUG
rnacentral:rRNA from 1 species